CCCAGCUCCAGCCCUCCUCUCCCGGUCCUCUGGGGUUCAGCCCAGGCUUCCAGCCCAGGCCCAGGCCCUGGGGCCAGAGGGUGACACAGGGCACCGGCCCCCUGAGGAGUCGGUGGAGCCCAGUGGGAGAGUUGGGCAUGGGCGGAAGGUGUGAGCGGAAGAGGCAGAGCCCAGCCGGAAGCGCUGAGGAGCAGCCGGGUCCUCUGAGCAUCAGCCCAGCCUGGGAGGCAGGAGGCUCAGGCGGCGGCAGGAGCAGAGGGCUCCAUCGCAGAAGGAAAACAUCUCUGGCGCUGGGACAGCCGUGCAUUCUCGGCUCUUCGGCAGAGGCCUUGCCUGGCAGGACAGUGAGGGUCUGUAACCCUGUCAGCCCCAACAGGGUCAGGCAGGACCAGCCCUGCAGGAUCUCUGGGGUCCACUCCAGCUGCCUGCACGAGAACCUGAGGGGUCAAGAUGGCCGUGAAGGUCACCCACCCCUGCCCCGCACCCUUGGCCUAACCCCUGCUAAAAACACCAGCUGCUGGGGCAGGGAAGGCAUGGGGUCAAGGGCCCAGGUCCCAGGAGGGGUGGGCGGGAGAGCUGAUUGUCUCAUCACGUGGCUCAGCUCUGUGUCCUAAGCCCCUCCCGGGAACCAGGCCCCACAGACACCCCUUCAGACUGUGCCACCCCACAGGGAGCCCCCCACCCAGACUAGAGGCUUGCUCUGGACCUAAGUCUCACUGGUUUGAAACCUACCCAGGCCCCCAAAGCCCCAGCCCCUGGGCCAGUGACCCCCCCAGAUCCUCCCCAAGCGCUCCCGGUGAAUCACUCAGGCUGGAAUCUGAUGAGCUCAGGCCUCCCCACCCAGUGCUGCUGGUCUCUGCCUCCUGCCUAACCAGCAGGGUUGCCACACCCCCCACAGGGGUCUUCUAGGCAAUUCACAGCCCCCGACAGGGUCUACCAUGGGGUGGGGUGGCUCAGUGGUGGAAGGACUAGGCAGGGCUGGGAGUGAGAUUAGUCAGGAGAAGGGCUUGGACUUCAGCAUGAUCAAAAGUGUAAAAGUCUGAGUGUCUAGUAAUGUACACAAUUAACUAGUCACUAUGCUGUACAUCUGAAACCAACAUAACAUUGUAUAUCAACUUUGUUGCACAAAACAAGUCAAAAAAUAUAAAAAGUUUA